GGAGGGUGCAAGCGUUACUCGGAAUCACUGGGCGUAAAGAGCGUGUAGGCGGGUGAAUAAGUCAGAAGUGAAAUCCAAUAGCUCAACUAUUGAACUGCUUUUGAAACUGUAUACCUAGAAUGUGGGAGAGGCAGAUGGAAUUUCUGGUGUAGGGGUAAAAUCCGUAGAGAUCAGAAGGAAUACCGAUUGCGAAGGCGAUCUGCUGGAACAUUAUUGACGCUGAGACGCGAAAGCGUGGGGAGCAAAC
rnacentral:rRNA from 1 species